rnacentral:lncRNA from 1 species
UUUUUAUUUUUUAUUUUUUUAUUUAUUUUUUAUUUUUUAUUUUUUAUUUUUUUUAUGAGUUGGUGUUUGUUCUUUCAUUGGUUUUAGGACUUGGAUGUCUAGAUUUAAAGGGUGUAUUUGCAUCCCGGUCUGCAUGAUUUGGGUAGGCAGUGUUCCUUUGGUGGUUUUAGGAUUAUAGUGUUUGAGGUUGGAGAGUGUUGGUAUUGGGGUCUCUGUGUUUGAUUGAAAUGUGAGUCGAAGGUCGAGGAGAAAGAUGGCAAAGAAGGGGAAG